rnacentral:rRNA from 1 species
GACGAACGCUGGCGGCGUGCUUAACACAUGCAAGUCGAACGAAGUGGCGAACGGGUGAGUAACGCGUAAUCAACCUGCCCUUCAGAGGGGGACAACAGUUGGAAACGACUGCUAAUACCGCAUACGGAAGGAGGGGAUUGCGUCUGAUUAGCUAGUUGGGGGGGUAACGGCCCCCCAAGGCGAGGAUCAGGAGCCCGGUUGAGAGGAUGAACGGCCACAUUGGGAACGAGAAACGGCCCAUACCCCUACGGGAGGCAGCAGUUGGGAAUCUUCCGCCAUGGACGAAAGGCUGACGGGGCAACGCCGCGUGAGUGAUGACGGCCUUCGGGUUGUAAAGCUCUGUUAAUCGGGACGCGGUACCGGAAUAGAAAGCCACGGCUAACUACGUGCCAGCAGCCGCGGUAAUUC